CCAAAGGCUCUUUUAAGAGCCACCUACUAUUACCAAAAUAGAGCUG
rfam:Dipodomys ordii contig_70646, whole genome shotgun sequence.